UCCUACGGGGGGCAGCAGUGGGGGAUAUUGCACAAUGGGGGAAACCCUGAUGCAGCGACGCCGCGUGGGCGAAGAAGUAUUUUGGUAUGUAAAGCCCUAUCAGCAGGGAAGAAGAAAUGACGGUACCUGAGUAAGAAGCACCGGCUAAAUACGUGCCAGCAGCCGCGGUAAUACGUAUGGAGCAAGCGUUAUCCGGAUUUACUGGGUGUAAAGGGAGCGCAGGCGGCUUUGCAAGUCUGAUGUGAAAGGCCAGGGCUCAACCCUGGGACUGCAUUGGAAACUGUAAAGCUAGAGUGCUGGAGAGG
rnacentral:rRNA from 1 species